AACUUUGAUGAAAUUUCUCAACAAAUCUUUACUGCUGUCUGGAAUAAAGCCACUCUUUCUUCACCUUUGCCUACCUCUGCUGUGGAGCUCAUUAGCAUGUUCUCUCUUCUGUCUUUCUGCAAUUGAAUCCUGCGUAACUGAAAGCUCCUAUUCAUCAAAUUUUCCCUGUCUUGUUUGUGUCUCAGAGAUAUCAACAUCCUUCAUAACACUCGUUCAAAGCUUGGUCAAAACCUCAAGCUCUUCCUAGCAUUUCUGUGUUGUCUCUAUCUGGAUAUGAGCUCCUCAAAACCUUUGUGGUAUUUCCCUGCCUGGCCUUCAUCUGGUUCUUCAUCGUGCAGGCAUUUCUGUUAUCAACAUUCCUACAAGCCACAGACUGAGCUCUCAGACGCCUGGUGUUCUGGUUGUUUCUUUUGUCAGCCUGAGUUCCUUAGCAACCUGUCUUCUGGUUAUGUGUCAGUUGUUUCCCUACACCAGCAACUACUGAACUCAACUUCUACCAAAUUUGGCAAAAGCACAGAAAUAGCAAAGCACCCUCCUCACUGCAGUUCCCUCGUCCAUUUCUUUCAACAACCUUGAGAAAGCUGUGAUACAUCAGUACAGUGCAAUUCUUCAGAGGCUGCUGUUCAUUCAUUUCUGCAGUGACUACUGACAACACAGAUGCCAUGCACUCUGUAUCCCGAAACAGCCAAUUUAUUCACUGAGAGCUUUCAAACCAAGUGACUGCUAAUAACCCAGGCUCACCAUAACACAUGCUCAAACUGUAUACCUAGCUGGCUUAUUUUCUGCUGUAAAACAAUGGGUUUGCUCAGAUUCAAACGAUAGACUUCCAGCACUCUUAACUUUUGUGUGGCUGUGAUAGUCUUCUGGCUGUGACGACCCAUUCUGGGGGCAACAUGACCUGCAUAAAAUCAAAACAUUCUAUGUUCCUGGUUUUUAGUCAUUUUUUUCCAUCAUUUGCCAUUCACACACAUAAUAGUUGGUACUUUCCCAAGGUGUGCUUGAGUUUAGUACAAAUCAGAGACUUAAAGUAUGUGCCCUGAGCCCAUAGCCUAAAGGACAAGGGGAUUGCUCCCUAACUUGGCCACUGUCCUUCAGUGUGACGGAGGAAAAAGACUGCUAGCAAAACUUCUGGAGGUUUGGCUAUGUGCCCAUGGGAACACAAAAGCCUUUCUGCAUGGACAUAACCAUAAAGGGUCAUUAAAACACAAUUACAGCUCAUACUUUGUGAUGAUUGAAG
rnacentral:lncRNA from 1 species